UACGGAAGGCAGCAGUGGGGAAUAUUGCACAAUGGGCGCAAGCCUGAUGCAGCCAUGCCGCGUGUAUGAAGAAGGCCUUCGGGUUGUAAAGUACUUUCAGUCGUGAGGAAGGUGUUAAGGUUAAUAACCUUAGCAAUUGACGUUAGCGACAGAAGAAGCACCGGCUAACUCCGUGCCAGCAGCCGCGGUAAUACGGAGGGUGCGAGCGUUAAUCGGAAUUACUGGGCGUAAAGGGCACGCAGGCGGUUAAUUAAGUUGGAUGUGAAUCCCCGGGCUUAACCUGGGAAUGGCAUUCAAGACUGGUUAGCUAGAGUCUUGUAGAGGGGGUAGAAUUCCGAUGUGUAGCGGUGAAAUGCGUAGAGAUGUGGAGGAAUACCGGGUGGCGAAGGCGGCCCCUGGGACAAGACUGACGCUCAUGUGCGAAAGCGUGGGGAGCGAAACAGGGAUUAGAUA
rnacentral:rRNA from 1 species